rnacentral:rRNA from 1 species
GAUGAACGCUGGCGGCGUGCCUAAUACAUGCAAGUCGAGCGAACGGACGAGAAGCUUGCUUCUCUGAUGUUAGCGGCGGACGGGUGAGUAACACGUGGAUAACCUACCUAUAAGACUGGGAUAACUUCGGGAAACCGGAGCUAAUACCGGAUGAUAUUUUGAACCGCAUGGUUCCAAAGUGAAAGACGGUCUUGCUGUCACUUAUAGCUGGAUCCGCGCUGCAUUAGCUAGUUGGUAAGGUACCGGCUUACCAAGGCAACGAGGCAUACCCGACCUGAGAGGGAGAUCGCCCACACUGGAACGGAGACAGGGUCCAGACUCCUACGGGAGGCAGCAGUAGGGAAUCUUCCGCAAUGGGCGAAAGCCUGACGGAGCAACGCCGCGUGAGUGAUGAAGGUCUUCGGAUCGUAAAGCUCUGUUAUUAGGGAAGAACAUAUGUGUAAGUAACUGUGCACAUCUUGACGGUACCUAAUCAGAAAGCCACGGCUAACUACGUG